rnacentral:snRNA from 1 species
GUACCUUUCUCGGCCUUUUGAUUUUGACUAAGAUUAUAAGUGUAGUAUCUAUUCUUAUCGGUUUAAUAUUUGAUACGUGGGACAUCGUGCUCACAAUAAUAUUAUUUUUAUUUAUUAUUAUAUAUGAAAUCUAUUAUAUAUGGAAUCUAAUAUGGUAGUUUGCUACUAAGGUUCUUGUGUUGUGUUAGCGUUGCACUAUUGCUUGGGCUUGGCACGUCCCUA